GGCCUCUUGGUGUAGUGGUUAGCACGUCCAGCCCUCAAAUUCCUUGAUGUCUAUCAUCAGGAGAAACGGUUGAGAGACGCGGGUUCGACUCCCGCAGAGGCUA